rnacentral:lncRNA from 1 species
AUGAGGAUACUUCUUUAUGAAUUGUGCUUAAUUUUCUUACCUGGGAGAAAUGAAGCUGGCUAUAACACUCAUCUAGGAUGGUUGUUAGCUUAUGAACAUGAUGCUGGCCUUACUGAAGACAAGGUGAUGUGCUAUGAUUAUCACAGUAUGGUACUGAAGAAGGACACAGAAGGCUGCAACAAUAAUGAGAUGAGGUAGCAAGCAAAAGCACAAGAUAUCAGAAGCUGCAAUGGAAAGUUCUCAGCUCUCACCAGUUUCUGGCUCUAAGUCAGUUCACAGGCAGAAGAGGAUGCUCUGUUCUCUUGAGGAAGAUCUCUGCAGUAUCUCUUCCAUAAUAUGAAAUAAAUAUUUCUCCAGUAUUUUUUAAGCAAUGUGUAGGCAUUUACCAGGGAACAAUGCAUUGAAGGAAUAGAAAUUAUGAAACCAUUUGAAGGCUUUUAAAUAGGAUCUGAUAAUAUCAGGGGAUCAAAUGAUAGCAUGGUCCUCCCAUAAGAGAGAGGGUUUAUUUUGGCAAGG